GUCAAAAGUUAUCAAACCAAUUACUGUACUGGUUAACUAAUGCUCUAGGAUAAGGGAAGUUACACCACAGACUGUUCCAGGGUUUUCUCAUUAAUUGAUAGAAUAGUACGCUAGCCCUUUAAGAAACGCGAUGUGUGACAUUCUGGAAGAAUCGCGAGAUUCUGCUGUGUACAGCGCGUGGUCACAACGUGAUUUGAAGUGCGGCUCAUGCGGUGGAGUGCUGAGGCCAUUAGACGCCGAUGUUACUGUUAAAAUAACAAAAAAAGCACAUAUAGUAACUUGGAAGUCUCUCUUAGUGUGUUGUGAGGAUUGUGUGUUGUGCUGAGGGAACUUUGAAAUUCUGUCGACUCGAGAUGCAUACCUAUGUGGAGAAAUCCGAUCGACAAUAAAUCUCGAAGCAGGGGAGAGGAGUAUUCUUAAGGCCUCCUGAGUGUUUCCAGGCCGAGUGUGAAGCAACAGAAAGGAGAAUUGAGUUCAGCAUUCAAUGUGACAGUGUGUACAUGCUAUAAAGUGUGUUGAUGAACAGUAAGUUUAAUUUGAUUAUUAUAAUAAGAGUCAUUUAAUUAUUUCUUUGUGGAAUAUUAGAAUGUUAAUUCAGAGUGAUUUAUAUUUAGUGGAUGUUAGCCAUUGUAAUGAUUAGAAUGUAUUAAUGUUACUGGGAAAUGUAACUUCAUUUUUACAUUUUUCAUGCAUCUUUUAUGUAAGAUAAGCAGCUUUAUUUGGUAUUCUGUGUUGACAAAUCUUGUAACAAUCUGUGUAUGUGUUUUUCAGAAUACGAGUCCACUAUCGUUGUCUAUGUUAAUUAGAUUCCAGUAGUUUAUUUGUUAAUGUGGUGACUGAGAACAGAAAGACAAGAGAGACUAGAGUUGAUAACAAAAUAUCUUUAUUGAUUCCAACCAAUGUAACAAGCUUUCCUGUCUAGUAUCACAUAUUUGCAUAGUUAACGCUGCGCUGUUUCAAGUGCAGUCUGGAAUAAACGAUCCCACAGAUAAUUUAAA